CAGCAGCCGCGGGAAUACGUAGGUGGCAAGCGUUGUCCGGAAUUAUUGGGCGUAAAGGGCUCGCAGGCGGUUUCUUAAGUCUGAUGUGAAAGCCCCCGGCUCAACCGGGGAGGGUCAUUGGAAACUGGGAAACUUGAGUGCAGAAGAGGAGAGUGGAAUUCCACGUGUAGCGGUGAAAUGCGUAGAGAUGUGGAGGAACACCAGUGGCGAAGGCGACUCUCCGGUCUGUAACUGACGCUGAGGAGCGAAAGCGUGGGGAGCGAACAGGAUUAGAUACCCCAGUAGUCCCUGUCUCUUAUAC
rnacentral:rRNA from 1 species